GUGAGGAAUUUUCCGCAAUGGGCGAAAGCCUGACGGAGCAAUGCCGCGUGAAGGAUGAAGGCCUAUGGGUUGUAAACUUCUUUUCUCAGAAAAGAAUUAUGACGGUAUCUGAGGAAUAAGCAUCGGCUAACUCUGUGCCAGCAGCCGCGGUAAGACAGAGGAUGCAAGCGUUAUCCGGAAUGAUUGGGCGUAAAGCGUCUGUAGGUUGUUUAAAAAGUAUUCUGUCAAAGAUUAGGGCUUAACCCUAGAUAGGCAGAAUAAACUUUUAAGCUAGAGUUUGGUAGAGGCAGAGGGAAUUCCCGGUGGAGCGGUGAAAUGCGUAGAUAUCGGGAGGAACACCAAAGGCGAAGGCACUCUGCUGGGCCAAUACUAACACUGAGAGACGAAAGCGAGGGGAGCAAAUGGGAUUAGAAAACCGUGUAGUCC
rnacentral:rRNA from 1 species